UACGUAGGGUCCGAGCGUUGUCCGGAAUUAUUGGGCGUAAAGGGCUCGUAGGCGGUUUGUCGCGUCGGGAGUGAAAACACCGGGCUUAACUCGGUGCUUGCUUUCGAUACGGGCAGACUUGAGGCAUGCAGGGGAGAACGGAAUUCCUGGUGUAGCGGUGAAAUGCGCAGAUAUCAGGAGGAACACCGGUGGCGAAGGCGGUUCUCUGGGCAUGUUCUGACGCUGAGGAGCGAAAGUGUGGGGAGCGAACAGG
rnacentral:rRNA from 1 species